UACGGAGGGUGCAAACGUUGCUCGGAAUCAUUGGGCGUAAAGCGCACGUAGGCGGUCUGUCACGUCGGCUGUGAAAUCCCGAGGCUCAACCUCGGGUCUGCAGUCGAUACGGGCAAACUAGAGUAUUGCAGGGGAGACUGGAAUUCCUGGUGUAGCGGUGAAAUGCGUAGAGAUCGGAAAGAACACCAACGGCGAAAGCACUCUGCUGGGCCGACACUGACACUGAGAGACGAAAGCUAGGGGAGCGAAUGGG
rnacentral:rRNA from 1 species